CAAAUUUCACAGCUGCUGGCUUUCAUACUGGAAUUUACACCAUUUACUUUCCUUAUUCUCAGGCCUUAGGACUCAUACUAGAACUAUACAAUUGGAUCUCUUCUGAGAUCUUGGGACUUCUCAACCUCCAUAAUCAUGUUUCUUUCUGACCCUAGGUCCCUGAUCUCAUUUUUCCAGGAUACUUUUCUUUAGGUGAUCAUUCAAAAUACCAAGCACAGCUGCUCACAGAUGACUGACCAAACAGGAAUCUCACUCCAUUUUUCAAUUUUCACCUGCUGACAACUUUUAGACAUCAUCCCUUCCUCAUCGUUUUUGUCCACAUUUGGGUGAGCUAAUAAGAGAGCCUGUGCUUUCUCCUUCAGUACCUGCUGGAAACUGAAACCACACAAGCCCCCACCUUAUCCGUACCCCACCCUUAAAUGCAAUAAAAACUCCUGAGCCAGUCUCUUUUUCUGGCACUCUCCAGACACUUCAGACCUCCUUGUGAUCCCUGCUCUGUGUGGUGUACUACUCUUGACAUUUCAGUCAAAUUUCAGUGAAAGUGCCCCCUGCUUUUGCAGGGUGACCGUAACGGCUUGACUCCUGCAGGAACUGAUCGAUCAAGGAAGACAACACAACAGCUGCAUGGAUUUCCUUCACAAACUAUUGUUUUUAUCUUCAUAAUUCAA